rnacentral:rRNA from 1 species
UACGUAGGGGGCAAGCGUUGUCCGGAUUUAUUGGGCGUAAAGAGCGUGUAGGCGGCUUUGCAAGUCCGUUGUGAAAACUCGAGGCUCAACCUCGAGACGCCGGUGGAAACUGCAAAGCUAGAGUCCGGAAGAGGAGAGUGGAAUUCCUGGUGUAGCGGUGAAAUGCGCAGAUAUCAGGAAGAACACCCGUGGCGAAGGCGGCUCUCUGGGCCUUACCUGACGCUGAGGAGCGAAAGCGUGGGUAGCGAACAGG